UCUUCUCCGCCGGCGACCGGCGCACGGGUGAGUAACACGUAUGCAACCUGCCCUGUCAGGGGGACAACCCGCCGAAAGGCGGGCUAAACCCGCGUACAUGCCACCGGGGCAUCCCGGAGGCAGGAAAGGCUUCGGCCGGACAGGGAUGGGCAUGCGGCGCAUUAGGCAGUAGGCGGGGUAACGGCCCACCUAACCGACGAUGCGUAGGGGUUCUGAGAGGAAGGUCCCCCACACUGGUACUGAGACACGGACCAGACUCCUACGGAAGGCAGCAG
rnacentral:rRNA from 1 species